AACGUAGGAGACAAACGUUAUCCGGAGUUACUGGGCGUAAAGGGCGUGUAGGCGGUCUGUUAAGUCUGGCGUGAAAGCUCUCGGCUAAACCGGGAGAGGUCGUUGGAUACUGGCAGACUAGAGGACGGUAGAGGCGUGUGGAAUUCCGGGUGUAGUGGUGAAAUGCGUAGAGAUCCGGAGGAACACCAGUGGCGAAGGCGGCUCACUGGCCCGGUACUGACGCUGAGGCGCGAAAGCGUGGGGAGCAAACAGG
rnacentral:rRNA from 1 species